rnacentral:rRNA from 1 species
GACGAACGCUGGCGGCGUGCCUAAUACAUGCAAGUCGAGCGAAUCAAUGGGAGCUUGCUCCCUGAGAUUAGCGGCGGACGGGUGAGUAACACGUGGGUAACCUGCCUGUAAGACUGGGAUAACUUCGGGAAACCGGAGCUAAUACCGGAUACGUUCUUUUCUCGCAUGAGGAGAGAUGGAAAGACGGUUCUGCUAUCACUUACAGAUGGACCCGCGGCGCAUUAGCUAGUUGGUGAGGUAACGGCUCACCAAGGCGACGAUGCGUAGCCGACCUGAGAGGGUGAUCGGCCACACUGGGACUGAGACACGGCCCAGACUCCUACGGGAGGCAGCAGUAGGGAAUCUUCCGCAAUGGACGAAAGUCUGACGGAGCAACGCCGCGUGAGCGAAGAAGGCCUUCGGGUCGUAAAGCUCUGUUGUUAGGGAAGAACAAGUACGAGAGUAACUGCUCGUACCUUGACGGUACCUAACCAGAAAGCCACGGCUAACUACGUGCCAGCCGCCGCAGUAA